rnacentral:lncRNA from 1 species
UGCUGACCCACCGGCUGGCUAGGUCGCUCUACUGUGGUUCGAGCCUCUCCCCUGAGGGUUCAGUGACAGAAUAACCAGGAAACCCAGAAUGGACUCAGGGCUCAGCUGCAGAAGGACCUGGUUGCCCACUUGCAGAAGCUCAUUCAGUAAGCAUGGGCAAGAUAUCGAACUCUGCCUUCUGUGAACUCUCUUUUCCCAUCUAUGAACUCCGACUCCCUCUCCAUUAAAUAUGGAUAGUGUUGAUCUCUGCCUGCUGACUCUCCCACUUAGUGCUGGUAUUUUAUAUUCAUGGAAGCUCAGCAAGGAACAAAAUAUAGAAUUCAGUGUAGAGCUUCUACCCAUUGGGUUUUCAUUCAAAAUUCAACAGGUAGAAGGAACACCUGCCUAUGAAAAGGAUGGGGUGACUCAGGG